GAUGAAGAACGCAGCAAAAUGCGAUAAGUAGUGUGAAUUGCAGAAUUCAGUGAAUCAUCGAAUCUUUGAACGCACAUUGCGCCCCUUGGUAUUCCAUGGGGCAUGCCUGUUCGAGCGUCAUUUGUACCUUCAAGCUCUGCUUGGUGUUGGGUGUUUGUCUCGCCUCUGCGUGUAGACUCGCCUCAAAACAAUUGGCAGCCGGCGUAUUGAUUUCGGAGCGCAGUACAUCUCGCGCUUUGCACUCAUAACGACGACGUCCAAAAGUACAUUUUUACACUCUUGACCUCGGAUCAGGUAGGGAUACCCGCUGAACUUAAGCAUAUCAAUAAGCGGAGGA
rnacentral:misc_RNA from 1 species